ACACGACCGUACCGCAAACCGACACUGGUGCGCGAGAUGAGUAUUCUAAGGCGCUUGAGAGAACUCAGGAGAAGGAACUCGGCAAAUUGACACCGUAACUUCGGAAGAAGGUGUGCCCUAUUAGUGUGAAGCGAACAGCGGAGCAUGAACGGGUUGCAAAAAAUCGGUGGCUGCGACUGUUUAUUAAAAACACAGCACUCUGCAAACACGAAAGUGGACGUAUAGGGUGUGACGCCUGCCCGGUGCUGGAAGAUUAAAUGAUGGGGUGCAAGCUCUUGAUUGAAGUCCCAGUAAACGGCGGCCGUAACAAUAACGGUCCUAAGGUAGCGAAAUUCCUUGUCGGGUAAGUUCCGACCUGCACGAAUGGCGUAACGAUGGCCACACUGUCUCCUCCUGAGACUCAGCGAAGUUGAAAUGUUUGUGAUGAUGCAAUCUCCCCGCGGAAAGACGGAAAGACCCCAUGAACCUUUACUGUAGCUUUGUAUUGGACUUUGAACAGAUCUGUGUAGGAUAGGUGGGAGGCUUUGAAGCAGGGUCGCUAGAUCUUGUGGAGCCAACGUUGAAAUACCACCCUGGUGUGUUUGAGGUUCUAACCUAGGUCCAUUAUCUGGAUCGGGGACAGUGCAUGGUAGGCAGUUUGACUGGGGCGGUCUCCUCCCAAAGCGUAACGGAGGAGUUCGAAGGUACGCUAGUUACGGUCGGACAUCGUGACGAUAGUGCAAUGGCAUAAGCGUGCUUAACUGCGAGACUGACAAGUCGAGCAGAUGCGAAAGCAGGACAUAGUGAUCCGGUGGUUCUGUAUGGAAGGGCCAUCGCUCAACGGAUAAAAGGUACUCUGGGGAUAACAGGCUGAUACCGCCCAAGAGUUCAUAUCGACGGCGGUGUUUGGCACCUCGAUGUCGGCUCAUCUCAUCCUGGGGCUGUAGCCGGUCCCAAGGGUAUGGCUGUUCGCCAUUUAAAGAGGUACGUGAGCUGGGUUUAAAACGUCGUGAGACAGUUUGGUCCCUAUCUUCCGUGGGCGCUGCAGAUUUGAGGAAGCCUGCUCCUAGUACGAGAGGACCGGAGUGGACACACCUCUGGUGUAUCGGUUGUCACGCCAGUGGCAUUGCCGAGUAGCUAAGUGUGGAAGAGAUAACCGCUGAAAGCAUCUAAGCGGGAAACUCGUUUCAAGAUGAGAUCUGCCGGGGCCUUGAGCCCCCUGAAGAGUCGUUCAAGACCAGGACGUUGAUAGGUCAGGUGUGGAAGCGCAGUAAUGCGUUAAGCUAACUGAUACUAAUUGCUCGUGCGGCUUGACCAA
rnacentral:rRNA from 1 species